UCUGACUCUCCCAGAGCUUGCUAUAGAUACCGUCAUGAAACGGUGCGUGCCAGAAGUCAGGCUCUGCUCUUGCUUCAGCUGUAUCGUUGCUUUAAAGCACUCACUGCAUUCUAUGCUGUGCACGUCAAAUAUCACCUGCAUGCAUUCCUGGAUUUUAUUCAAGUUAAGCUCGAGUUCCCUGCGUGCAAGUCUCACAGCUCUUCUGGAACAGAUGAGUGCUUCAACAGCCAUAAAAGCCCCCAGGCCAAGAACAGCCAUUGCCAUGCGAAGAACUGCAGAGUCUUGAACAAUUCCGGGUCGCCUUCUUCCGAGGAUUCCUACGUCGAGCUGGUUUCAUGGGACGGAGAACUGGCUGUGACGGAACGGAAGAAAGCUGUGGCUCAAUCAAGGACGCGGCCUUUGUCAUCUCAUAUCCGGAAGGCUCUAGCUCGAGCAGCUCGAGAACUUCCAGAGGCUACCGUUCCUUACGAAUUCUCCCAGCGGGCGUGUCACACACCGGCUGGGGUCUCCGGGAUCCUGGAGCUCCUGAGCUUUACCGUGUAGAAGAGGGCGCUCGUCUCGGACGUCACCACCUUGGCUGGCAGCCGAGCAAUACGUUUUCCUGCGAGAGGCAUACCUGGUGGCCGAAGAAGCCGGAGAAGAGCACGGUCUGGUGAUCAAUCAGGAGCUUAUAGCAAGUGCUACAAAUCAGGUACUGUGAAGAUCAAACGCGGUCAAAAGCAGCAGAUGGGGAUGAAGCCGCGAGAGCAAACAAGACAACUCAGCUACUCUGACCAAGCCGCUCCAAACCAUCCAUCCACGGGUAUCCACGAAUCCUCCGGUAGAUCACACCAGAGUAAACCGGUUGUUUACUUGGGUCUAGCACCCACCUCAAGAUCUUGCCGGCAUUCUGGUCCUCAGUGUCAA